AGCUUUGUGCAGUGGCAGUAUCGUAGCCAAUGAGGUUUAUCUGAGGUGCGAUUAUUGCUAAUUAAAGUUGGAAUUGUAAAGAAUCCUGGGAACCAUCUAGCAAACACCAUGUUCAGUAAACAUUUGCCAGGUUGAAAUUUUACCUUUUUGAAGG
ensembl:snRNA U4 U4 spliceosomal RNA